UGAGGAAUAUUGCGCAAUGGGGGCAACCCUGACGCAGCAACGCCGCGUGAGUGAGGAAGGUUUUCGGACCGUAAAGCUCUGUCGAGCGGGAAGAAAUGUAUCGUGGCUAAUAUCCAUGAUAUUUGACGGUACCGCUAAAGGAAGCACCGGCUAACUCCGUGCCAGCAGCCGCGGUAAUACGGGGGGUGCAAGCGUUGUUCGGAAUUAUUGGGCGUAAAGAGCGUGUAGGCGGCUGAAUAAGUCAGAUGUGAAAUCCCUGGGCUUAACCCAGGAAGUGCAUUUGAAACUAUUCAGCUUGAGUAGGGGAGAGGAAAGUGGAAUUCCUGGUGUAGAGGUGAAAUUCUUAGAUAUCAGGAGGAACACCGGUGGCGAAGGCGACUUUCUGGCCCUAUACUGACGCUGAGACGCGAGAGCGUGGGUAGCAAACAG
rnacentral:rRNA from 1 species